AACGAACGCUGGCGGCAUGCCUAACACAUGCAAGUCGAACGAAGCCUUCGGGCUUAGUGGCGCACGGGUGCGUAACGCGUGGGAAUCUGCCCUUGGGUUCGGAAUAACAGUUAGAAAUGACUGCUAAUACCGAAUGAUGUCUUCGGACCAAAGAUUUAUCGCCCAAGGAUGAGCCCGCGUCGGAUUAGCUAGUUGGUGAGGUAAAGGCUCACCAAGGCGACGAUCCGUAGCUGGUCUGAGAGGAUGAUCAGCCACACUGGGACUGAGACACGGCCCAGACUCCUACGGAGGCAGCAGUGGGGAAUAUUGGACAAUGGGCGAAAGCCUGAUCCAGCAAUGCCGCGCGAGUGAUGAAGGCCUUAGGGUUGUAAAGCUCUUUUACCCGGGAUGAUAAUGACAGUACCGGGAGAAUAAGCCCCGGCUAACUCCGUGCCAGCAGCCGCGGUAAU
rnacentral:rRNA from 1 species